GGGAUAACUAUUGGAAACGAUAGCUAAUACCGCAUAACAGUAGAUAUUGCAUGAUAUCUGCUUGAAAGGGGCAAUUGCUCCACUACCAGAUGGACCUGCGUUGUAUUAGCUAGUUGGUGAGGUAACGGCUCACCAAGGCGACGAUACAUAGCCGACCUGAGAGGGUGACCGGCCACAUUGGGACUGAGAUACGGCCCAG
rnacentral:rRNA from 1 species